UGGGCAAGGUGGCCCCGGCCAUCAGUGUGACUGUGGGCCUGUUUUCCCCCCUAAGCCCCCAUCCAUGGCACUGGAAAUGGCUGUUCAGUUUGCACCCUGCCCAGAGGUGCCUGAACUGCUGAGGGUGCCCUGUGAGGGGCCACAGCAGCCAAGAGCCACAGAUGCCUCUUUCUGUUUGGAAUGCAUCCUGCCGGACGGGGCACCCUGUUGCAGUUCGUCUGCCCGGAGGCACCCCCUGUGCUCGUAGCAGUAGGGGACUGUAGGAGCCGGCUGUGGCCCACAACUCACGUUCCUCAGUUCCCCAACCUAGUUCUCCUUUCCCCCUUUAUUUCUGUGAGCUCUUGAGAGCCUUCCAGACAUCCUUUUAUUUUUUGCUAAGAUAGGCAGAGUGGGAGAGGCAGGUGGCGUGUAGCUGUGCUCUCACCAUUUCCUGAGUUCUGACCUUCACCUUCAUCUUUGUACCGUAAGCAUCUGUGUCUGCUGGCCUGAAGCAUCUCUGGCUGAGGGAACACGCUCAUCCCGUACGCAGGACCAGCCAAGGUGCCGGGAGGUAACACCUAUAAGAGCAGGUGGAGCUGGAGGCUGACGGCCUGGAUGGCUUCUCACCUUUGAUGGGUUGCGAGUGAGGAGUGUUCCUCACGAUUUCUCCCAGGUCCACUGGGUUUGAGCUCUGGUGCCCAGGCAGUCACCUGCUCAUCAGCGCUUCCUGAAGUGGCCCCUUCUCUUUCCUCCCCAGCUUCCCCACUCCCCAACUGGGGCUUCCCGGGAUCCCCUCCCAGAUGUACUCCCUGCACUCAAACCCUAUCUGAUCCAUGUUGUGGUUCGAACUGUGUCCCCCAAAAGAUACAUCCAACCCAUAACUUCUGAUCCUUGUGAAUGUGACCUUAUCUGGAAACUGGUUUGUUACAGGUGCAAUUAGUCAAAAUAAGAUGAAGUCAUGCUGGGGGUGGGUGGGUCCUUAAUAUGACCACAGUGCUGUGAUUACAGGCGUGAGCCACCGUGCCCGGCCCAACUCUUCCUUCUUAGCAUUGAGCUCUAUUGUUACCAUUGCCAUGAUUUAUUCAGGCUUCUCACUAACUACUUCUGCAGAUGGCCACAAAAAGCUAUUCAUUCACCUCUUCUGUGUGAUGUUUUGCACAGUGUCUGACUUGCCUGAAACUGAGCCACGCAAAGGCAGGGCCAAUGUCUUCCGCUUCAACUCAGAAUUCUCCAUAUCCAGCCCAGUGCCUGAAACACAGUGAGCCUGAGAAUUACUAGUGUACUAUCAAAUGAAAGAAUAAAUUAUGUUAAAAGCUUCCGGAACAGAAUAGAAGGGAUGGAAAGUUCUAGAGGACUCUCAGGUGCACUGAUUGACAAUGACAUUGAUGGGAAGAGUUGGCUGAGUUUGCAGUCUUGUGAACUUCUUUCUUCUUUUUUUGUCUCCCCUGAGGAAGUCCCAUUAACCUUGCACCAAAUUCCGUCCCCAGGGCCCAGUGCUGAGGGCUCCGGGCACCAGGAAAUGGCAUUCAUGUACGCACGCUGAACUCUAAACCCUCUGUUCCAGGGAGAGACAUAUUUUUAGAUGUUUGACGUCCAAAUUCCAGAGGAAGAGCGAGUAAUGCUUAGGGGAAAAUUGGCUUUCUUUCUCCACCACGCAAACCAGUGCUGGGGUGCAUUUUUAUUGGUCUGGCUGCUAAGCUGCUGGAACUUUCCAAAGAAGGGUAAAAGCUCCUGUAUGUGGAAGGAAGGGGGUGGCGAGCUCUGAGGGAGAGAUGUGGGUAGACUGAGGGCAGCUCUGGAGACUGGAUUCUUUUCCCCUAAAUGGAAAUGGUUUAUAUAAAUUCUUGUACUGAUUAUUAAAAUAGUGAUGUUUACUGUAAAAAAAAAUUCAGACAACACAGAGAGUUACAAGUAAGUAAAAAUGAUCUGAAUUUGUCCUCCAACAUGUAAACUCUGUUGACAUGUUGGGGCGACUGUCUAUAGAUUGUUUCAUGAAGCAGUUAAACAUAGCACACACGUGUUUUCUUAGUGGUUUUUUAUUCAUACUGAUUAAACGGUCUUUUAUUGAAAUGAAAUUCAUGUGACAGACAACUUACCCUUUCAGAUGUACAAUUCAGUGGUGAUCAGCAUAUUCACUGAGUCGUGCAACCGUCCUAUCUAUUUAGUUUUGGAAUGUUCUCAUCGACCCUACGGGAAACCCGCACCUACUGGCUGUCAGCCCUCCUUCCCUCUGCCCCCAGCCUCUGGCAACCAACAAUCUGCUUUCUGUUAGUAUGGCUCUGCCCACUGUAGGCAUUUUGUAGAAAUGGAAUCAUCCAGUGUGUGGUAUUGGGUGUCUGGCUUAUUCGCACUGUUUUAUGUGUUGCCUUUGCACUUAACAGAUGUUAAGUGAAGGUAUGCAACGCAGUGGAUCGGCGCCUUCCUUUCUAAGGCCCGCAUGGCGUUCUCUGUGCCGUCACCUGUUCAUCCGGCCUCCUUGGCUGCACAUCCAGCUGCUGUGCUUUAGCUGAAUCUGGACUUGGACUUGCUGAACUGGGCUUCCCACUGCCGGAGCCCAGAACGGGCAUUUCCCCACCUGCUUCCUAGGGAUAUCAGUGGCAGAAUGGCUUUGCAAAGCUAUUUUUGUUCAUCUAUAGGAAAAAAAUAGCCACCAGGUUGAAAACCUUAAGGGAAUCUUU